rnacentral:rRNA from 1 species
AUUGAACGCUGGCGGCAGGCCUAACACAUGCAAGUCGAGCGAGCGGCGGACGGGUGAGUAAUGUAUGGGGACUGCCCGAUAGAGGGGGAUAACUACUGGAAACGGUGGCUAAUACCGCAUACUAUCGGAUAACCCAUAUGGGAUUAGCUAGUAGGUGGGGUAAAGGCUCACCUAGGCGACGAUCUCUAGCUGGUCUGAGAGGAUGAUCAGCCACACUGGCACGUGGACACGGCCCAGACUCCUCCGGAGGCAGCAGUGGGGAAUAUUGCACAAUGGGCGAAAGCCUGAUGAAGCCAGGCCGCGUGUAUGAAGAAGGCCUUAGGUUUGUAAAGUACUUUAAGCGGGGAGGCGUUACCCCCAGAAGAAGCACCGGCUAACUCCGGGCCAGCAGCCGCGGUAAUUC